rnacentral:rRNA from 1 species
CUUCACACGUCAUACAAUGGUCGGGACAGAGGGUCGCCAACCCGCGAGGGGGAGCCAAUUCAGAAACCCGAUUGUAGUCCGGAUAGCAGUCUGCAACUCGACUGAGUGAAGUCGGAAUCGCUAGUAAUCGCGGAUCAGAAUGUUGUGGUGGAUACGUUCCCGGGUCUUUACACACCGCCCGUCACACUAGGGGAUUGGGUUUUACCAGAAAUCGGCAGCGACGAACAAGC